rnacentral:misc_RNA from 1 species
UCAAUAAACAAAUCGUACAAUCAAGCCGCAUAGGCUGGAUGGUUCGCGUUGCUUCUUCGCCGCCGUUGACACUACCGGAGCAAAGCUCUUCGCCAUGAAUAUCGGACGUGCCAAUAUGUGGCACGAGGCGAGGAAGCAGGAGCGGAAGAUUCGCGGCAUGCUGGUGGAUUUGAAAAAGAGGGCCGAGCGAAGGAAGGAGUUCUACGAACGAAUCAAACAAGACCCGGCCCAGUUCCUGCAGCUGCACGGUCGACGAUGCAAGAUCCACAUCGACCUGGCGAUUGCCCAGGCAGCCGACAGCCCGGCCACCAUGAUGCCAUGGCAGGGCCACCCAGACAUCAUGAUCGACCGGUUCGACGUGCGGGCUCACUUGGACACAAUUCCAGAGUACAAGUCUCCGGUCAAACCUCUUCCGCUCUCAAACGACCAGCGGGAGGAGGAAAGACAGAUCAACUACGAGAGGUACCGGACGCUCGUGCAGAACGACUUCCUCGGAGUGUCCGAGGACAAGUUCUUGCACCAAAUCUUCCUGGAGGAGCGGUAUGGCCCCGUCGGGAGGCCCGUGGGAACCACGGAAGAGGAGAAGAAGAAGCUGGCCGAGAAGAAGGCUGCGAUUGGCUACGUCUAUGAAGACAGCACGCCGGUGACGUCCACGUCCGCCGCCGGGCAGAAUGAGGAUGAGGAGGAAGAGGACAAAGAGGACCUCAGCGACAUCGACCUGGACAUCACCAUCGACGUGAACGAGCUGAACGACGACCAGGCGAGAGAGAUGAAUGCGAACUCAGUCCUGUAUGGCAUGGAGGAUACGGACUUCAUCUCGUUUCUGCAUCUGGACAAAGAAGAGCAGGAGCGGCUGAAGCAAGCCAGAGAGCUCGAAGAGGAAAAAGCCAUGUACUCGGGGAGGAAGUCUCGGAGAGAGAGGAGAGCUCUGAGAGAGAAGAAACUGAAGAACCGCGUAGUCACCAGCCCACCCAGUUAUGCAGCGAGGGAGAGUCCAACUUACAAGCCUUUCAGGGCCCAGUCCAGCUCUCGUUCGAGGUCGCGGUCUCCACAAAACGCGGGCGAGAUCACCUUCAUCACCAGUUUCGGCGGCGAAGCCUCCGAGGACGAAGACGCCACGGGGACCAAGAAGGCGGCGGUGAAACCGGCCGCCACUGCAGCUAGCACCACAAAAGCCUCGUCCAACAACGCGCCCAAGGCGGCUUCCACUUCGAAGGGGGCCGGCAGGCAGGACAACAGCAGCUCGUCCAAAUCAAAACCCAGGGAGAGGUCACGGUCUCGAGGCCGCUACAACAGCUCGACCCGGUCCUCAAACCAUGGCAGAGGGGCUCGGCCUUCGCGCUGGGGUUCGUCCAGCUCCAGGUCAAGGUCGCGCUCAAGGUCGUCGUCGAGGGGGAGGAGGGACAAAAGGAGGAGAAGGAGCCGCAGCUGGGAAAGGUCGUACAGGACGCAGCGCCGAGGCACUCGGCCCUCUCCGAGGUCGAGGUCGAGGUCGCGACAGCGGAACAGCAGGUGGAGGUCACCAAGCCGCUCAAGGUCGAGAUCGAGGUCGAGGCGCCGGGGCUCCCGCCGGCGGUCGUCCUCUUCCCCGCCCAAGGGCCGGCGUUCGCCGUCUCCUCCGAAGAGGCUGCCGAGCCCUCCCCGCAAGUCCUACUACCGGCACAGUCUGUCGAGGUCGCGCUCGAAGUCGCCCAGCAGCGAGGCGGAGCGCAAGUCGGGGACCAGCGAGGACGACAACAGCGAGAGCUCCCGGGGUCAGGCGGGGGCAGGUGGCGCCAACGGGGUGCGUCGCACCUGGCCCGCAGCCGAUGCGCUGAAAACCAACGUCUCUGUGGGUAAACCCGGUCCUGCCUCCAAAGUCAGGCGGCGCUCCGUCGGGUCUGACACCGCGGGAGAAGCUGAAGCGCAAGAUGCAGGCUGCCCUCAACAAGCAAUACAAAGCCGACAAAAGGGCUGAACGUGAAAAGCAGGACAAGAUUCUGCAAGAACGCUGGGACCGAGCCGAAGAGCUUCGGGGCAUGGCGAUGCGCAUGCGGCAGAGGGACCGGAGAGGCCGAGAUAAAGACGACUACGACUACGACCCCGAAGACGGCCGGGAAGGCUACUCGAGCCGCUCAGCAAGCCGAUCCCCCA